GACAGAGGUGCCGAGCGUUAGGCGGAAUCACUGGGCUUAAAGCGUGUGUAGGUGGAUGUCUAAGUACCUUGUGAAAUCCCACGGCUUAACCGUGGAACGGCUCGGUAUACUGGAUGUCUUGAGCCAGCUAGGGGCUACCGGAACAAAUGGUGGAGCGGUGAAAUGCGUAGAUAUCAUUUGGAACGCCAAUGGUGAAAACAGCUCGCUGGGAAUGAUCUGACACUGAGACGCGAAAGCCAGGGGAGCGAACGGG
rnacentral:rRNA from 1 species